GAUGUCAAUGGUAUUCAUAUAUGUUUUCAAAAAAUACCUGUUCCAAAUAUAAAACAACAGCCUCCUCAUCCAGAUGUUGCCAUGCAUGUCCAAGCUCCAAAAAUUUAUGGGUACCCUUCCAAUGAUCUUCCUUAUCCAACACAGAAUAAUAUCCAAAGUGAUUUUUUACCAAACACAAAUAGAAUAAAGUCUAUGGAAAACAAACAUUAGGUAUUCAAGGUGUUAUGUUUGAGAUCAAUCCAAGAUUUCAAAGAAUAUGGAAAAUAGCCAAGUUUCUCAAAAAUUCAGGCAAAUUCGAUCUAUUAGAGACAUUGAUUUGAAGUAUAACUACACAUUUGAAAUGGAAAGAUUAUACUAUCCAGAUAAUGAUUUAUAUGUGAAGGACAGUAACAUGUUAUAUAGUUAAAAUGUAUUGACAGAGAUUAGUGUUUUAAAUGAUAAAAAUAAUGUGUUAAUAUCAAUAAAAUUAAAGAAAAUCUUGCUGCAGAUUUCACAGUUGAA